UCCAGGUUCUGAGUUUUCAGGUUCUGAGUUUUCAGGUUCUGAAUCCUAAGUUCAGAAUUCCAGGUUCUGAGUUUUCAGGUUCUGAAUCCUAACUUCUGAAUUCCAGGUUCUGAGUUUUCAGGUUCUGAAUCCUAAGUUCAGAAUUCCAGGUUCUGAAUUUUCAUGUUCUGAGUUUUCAGGUUCUGAAUCCUAACUUCAGAAUUCCAGGUUCUGAAUUUUCAUGUUCUGAG